UGCCCAGCAACUCCUAUCCCUACCUCCUCGUGGUACCGGCCAAAAACUACGAGCAACCUUAGGGAAGAUCGGGUAACCAACCCCGGUGGGAUCUUUGAUCGUAGGCUGACAGGGAAGA
rfam:Aedes albopictus isolate Foshan contig29169, whole genome shotgun sequence.